GGGUGACGUACCCUCCUGUCUGGAAUAGCCGGUAGAAAUACCGGAUAAUGCCGGAUGAGGUCCGCGGCAUUGGAAGCCGCGGAGGAAAGGAGCUAUUGUUCCGCAGGGGGAGCGGCCCGCGUCCCAUCAGCUAGUUGGCGGGGAAAAGGCCCACCAAGGCGAUGACGGGUACCCGGCCUCAGAGGGCGACCGGGCACAUUGGGACUGAGAUACGGCCCAGACUCCUACGGGAGGCAGCAGCUAAGAAUAUUCCGCAAUGGGGGAAACCCUGACGGAGCGACGCCGCGUGGACGAUGAAGGCCGGAAGGUUGUAAAGUCCUUUUAUGGCGGAGGAAGAAGCGAGCGUUGGAAGCGCGCGUGGUGACUGUACGCCAUGAAUAAGCACCGGCUAAUUACGUGCCAGCAGCCGCGGUAACACGUAAGGUGCGAGCGUUGUUCGGAAUCAUUGGGCGUAAAGGGCAUGUAGGCGGCCGCGCAAGUCUGGAGUGAAAUGCCGAAGCUUAACUUCGGAACUGCUUUGGAAACUGCGAGGCUGGAGUCACCGAGGCGGAGCCGGAAUUCCAGGUGUAGGGGUGAAAUCUGUAGAUAUCUGGAAGAACACCGAUGGCGAAGGCAGGCUU
rnacentral:rRNA from 1 species